AGUUAUGAUCGUCAUUAUCCUGCUGUGUGCACAUGAUCAUAAAGCUGAACAGAACCAGGAACCAUCACAGAACCAUCCUCAGCAGGUCUGAAUCUAUAACAGAGGAUCCCUUCUAUAUUACACUGCAGUAGCUUGCAGAGUGAGAGCUGACAGAAGACAGAAUCACAUUUGAGAGGUUGAAGCAACGACG